rnacentral:rRNA from 1 species
UACGUAGGGUGCAAGCGUUAAUCGGAAUUACUGGGCGUAAAGCGUGCGCAGGCGGUUUUGUAAGUCUGACGUGAAAUCCCCGGGCUCAACCUGGGAAUUGCGAUGGAGACUGCAAGGCUAGAAUCUGGCAGAGGGGGGUAGAAUUCCACGUGUAGCAGUGAAAUGCGUAGAGAUGUGGAGGAACACCGAUGGCGAAGGCAGCCCCCUGGGUCGAGAUUGACGCUCAUGCACGAAAGCGUGGGGAGCAAACAGG